UUGUGUCAAGGCAAGCUCAUUCCCUGGUCUAAACCCUAACUCCAUCUAUUUUGCAGGCGAUGGCUUCGGUGUUUACGAUAUCGCCACUAGAAAACCACGUUCCUUCCGUCCCAAGUCUCCCUCAGCCUUCUCGUCAGCAUCACUCCUCCCUUACUGGAUCCCUCCAAUGUCUCUUUAGUUUACUUGUUCUUCACUAGUCAUGUUCUGUAACUUUUGUUUUUUAUGCUUAUAAUUGUUCUUUUGCGAGCCCUUGGACGUUGGCCGCCAUCUUCAUACGAGUUAAUAAAUUUUGGUGUGAGGAAAUAUACGAGUCAAUUUAUGAAACGAAGGUAGUAACUUUCGUAAUUCCUUUUUUUUUUUUUUUUUUCUCUGGUUGUAUGAAUC